rnacentral:rRNA from 1 species
UACGGGGGGGGCAAGCGUUGUUCAGAAUUACUGGGCGUAAAGGGCUCGUAGGUGGCCAACUAAGUCAGACGUGAAAUCCCUCAGCUUAACUGGGGAACUGCGUCUGAUACUGGAUGGCUUGAGAUUGGGAGAGGGAUGCGGGAUUCCAGGUGUAGCGGUGAAAUGCGUAGAUAUCUGGAGGAACACCGGUGGCGAAGGCGGCAUCCUGGACCAACACUGACACUGAGGAGCGAAAGCCAGGGGAGCAAACGGG